CAUACUUCUAUCUUAUAAUAAUUUUCUAUUCUUCUUUUUUUUUUCUGCCUUCUACUCUACAAUUAAUGGCUUCUAACAAUAUUACACCACUUUCAACUUCACAACCAGCUCCUACUACUAGGUAGUUUUAUUUGAAAGGAAAAAAAAAGUGUAUUUUCGUGUAUAUCUUUCUUGUAUAUUCAAUGCAUAAUCUAUGUAUACAUAUACCUCUCAUAGAGGCUGAGUUGGCAUUUUAAUUUAUGGGUUCGAGCUUACAGUUCUAUUUGUUUACCGAUAUCUGAAUAGAUUAUUUGUACAUAUUGAAUGAAUUAUUUAGUACAAGCUUUGAGCCAAAAUUAUAUACUUAGUUUCUGCCUAGCUUGUAUCUACCAUUGUGUUCGGUCCUGUCUGUGUGAGAUACAUAUACGUAAUACACAUACAUAAUAUACAUUUUUGCAGCGACGUUUUUUAAGUCGAUUUCGACUUUUUUGUUGAUACAUGUUCUCGUAUUAGGGAAAUGAGUAUGAAGAGAAUGAUUGGGAUAAUUUGGGGUUCAAGGUGACUCAAACUGAUUAUAUGUUCAUAGCAAAAAGCACUUUGGAUGGAAAUUUGGAACAAGGCCAAUUAAAACCCUUUUGGAAAUAUUCAACUGAGUCCCUCUGCUGGAAUUUUGAACUAUGGACAGGCACAAAAGCGUAUAAAAGAGAAGGUGGAAGCAUUUUCUUAUUCCGCCCGCACGAUAGCGCAAUUCGUAUGCAGAUUGGUGCUGAAAGAAUGUGUAUGCUUUGUCUUUCUGUUGAUCAAUUUGUGGAUGCUAUUAAACAAACUGUUUUGGCUAAUAAGCGUUGGAUUCCUCCAGCUGGGAAAGGGACAUUAUACAUUAGGCCUUUGCUAAUGGGAAGUGGAGCAGUACUUGGAGUGGCUCCAGCACCUGAAUACACUUUCCUUGUUUAUGCUUGCCCUGUUGGUAACUAUUUCAAGGUUGCAACAGGGGCUCUCUCUUUAUAUAUUGAGGAAGAAGUUCAUCGUGCUGCUUGUGGUGGAGCUGGUGGAGUCAAAAGCAUUACUAAUUAUGCCCCGAUAAUUAAUAUUUUUUUUGUUUCAUUUUAAUUGAUCCUUAACAGUACAUCUCUUAAUUAGAUAUGUAUUUUACUAAGUUAACAUUAUUAAUGAUGUUUGAGACUUUAAAUUUGACUAUUAUUACUGUCAGUGGCGGAGCCAGAAUUUUCGCUAAGGGAGUUCAUAAGUGAAUAUAAAAACUAAUCAAGGGAUUCAACAUCUAAUAUAUAUACAUAAAAAAUAUUUUUAACAAUGUAUAUAUAACAUAAUUUUUCGCCGAAGGGGGUUCGGAUGAACCCCUGACCAUAGUGUAGAUCCGCCACUGAUUACUGCAUUUAUUUUAUACAAAAGGUAGAAAGGAAAUAUAAAAAAAUUCUCUUGAUUUUAUAAAUUGGAUAAUACUCCCUCCGUUCAGUUUUACUCGUCACAAAUUGAGAUGACACACCUAUUAAGAAAAACAAUUAAUAACAUGGUUAUUUUACCAUAGUACCCCUAUUAAAUGGUGUUUACAUUAUAUCUUAAAAUUAACUUGGAGAAAAAAACAAUUAAUGUUAAGGGUAAAAUAGAAAAAAAGAAGUUCUCUUUUCUUAAUAUAUCAAAAAUGACAAGUAAAAGUAGAAAUUCAAUUAAGAAAUUACAGACAAGUAAAAGUGAACGGAGAAAAUAGAAAACAACGACUAUUUUUAGUAUAGAUGCCAAAUAAAAUGAAACGGAGGGGAAUAAUUAUUCAGUCUUUUUUAUUAUACCUAUUUUUUUUUUAAUUUCUUUUUGCAAUAAAAUGUAAAUAUUACCAUUACCAAGCAAAUUUGCAUACAACUAAAGAGCACAUGAUCUACCUAUUCUAAGCACAAAUUAAUAGAAUCAAGCCUCAGGAGAUUACCGCACUCUAUUUAUAAAACCUAUACACUUUUUAGCAAAUUUGAUCUCUCUGUACAUCCUAAUCCUUUCUCGCACAACUUCCUGUACACGAUGAUUUCUAAAAUUCUUACCACAAACCAUGUACCAUUGCUCCAAAGACGGCUGGGACAGUUUCCUUCUUAAACUUGUUCCACCGCUUCUUCCUUAUCAACUGAAUAGUUUGCUGCACACUAUGAUUAUGCAAUUUGAUAAAUUACUUGUGUAUAUUUCAUAAAUAUAUAGGUGAUGAAAGCCAUGAAGAAUGCAAAAGGAAAAGGAUUUACUGAUGUGUUGUACCUUGAUUCAGUAAAUAACAAAUAUAUUGAGGAAGCCUCUUGCUCUAAUAUCUUUUUAAUCAAGGAUUGAGUAUAAGAUUUCAGAAGGGAUAAUAACACAGCAAUUGAACUCAAGGCUAGUAGAGAUUCAAAGAGGCAUUGUUGAGGAUAAGAGGAACUGGAUUGUUGAGGUUAAAUGAGUCUAGGUAAUAGGAUAUCUCGACAAAAUUUAAGUGUUUAAUUGAAAAAUUAGAGACUAUUUUGAGGAGUAAUAAUGUAUUUUCUUAAAUAAAAAAGCUUAAGAGAAUAAUUUGCUUGUAAUAUUUACUUUAUUACGUCCACCGCCCUAUCGAGCUGAGUUUGAGGUGUGUCCCACCACAAGAAUUCAAUAAGUAUAUAAAUGCAUCUCUCUAAUUUUAUGUAAUGAAUUAAUAAUUCUUUAAUGACACGGAUUUGCGAU